rnacentral:misc_RNA from 1 species
GAUGAAGAACGUAGCGAAACGCGAUAAGUAAUGUGAAUUGCAGAAUUUAGUGAAUCAUCGAACUUUUGAACGCAUAUUGCGCCCGGCGGCACUCCGCCGGGCAUGCCUGUCCGAGCGUCAUUUAUCGGCCCUCGACUCUCCUUCUCUGAGUCGGUGUUGGGAGUCUCUGCGCGCUCUCUGCUGCAGCUCCCCAAGUCCACUGGCGUCGCACGCCUGGAUAUCCCCCGCGUAGUAGUCAUCACCUCGCCCGGGAACCUUGCGAGCGCCGGCCAUAAACAAACCACAGCGCCAUGUCGCUCUCCGGAGCCUCCCAGCGCUCGAAUAGUUGACCUCGGAUCAGGUAGGGUUACCCGCUGAACUUAAGCAUAUCAAUAAGCGGAGGA